GCGAGGGGUGAGAGGAAGGGCAACGGGGCAAACGAGCGACGGGAACCUGAAGAGAGAGAUUAGCUGGGAUCAUGCAGUUUGAUAUCCAGUCCUCUGAAAGAGCAGGUGUUUGAGACGAAACACGGAGGAGAAAUGAGUAUCCAGGCUCACAGGUAUACAAACAACAACAGAACGUCCUUCCGUCCAGCCUCAGUUUUUGUCCAGAUGACCCUUUCAGAACAAC